rfam:Triticum aestivum genome assembly, contig: Triticum_aestivum_CS42_TGACv1_scaffold_031427_1BL
CAAGUACUCCCUCCGUCCGGAAUUACUUGUCAUCAAAACUGAUGUGUCUAGAACAAAAAUACAUCUAGAUACAUCCAUUUCAAUGACAAGUAUUUUCGGACGGAGGGAGUACAAG